GACGAACGCUGGCGGCGUGCCUAAUACAUGCAAGUAGAACGCUGAAGGAGGAGCUUGCUCUUCUGGAUGAGUUGCGAACGGGUGAGUAACGCGUAGGUAACCUGCCUGGUAGCGGGGGAUAACUAUUGGAAACGAUAGCUAAUACCGCAUAAGAGUAGAUGUUGCAUGACAUUUACUUAAAAGGUGCAAUUGCAUCACUACCAGAUGGACCUGCGUUGUAUUAGCUAGUUGGUGGGGUAACGGCUUACCAAGGCGACGAUACAUAGCCGACCUGAGAGGGGGGUCGGCCACACUGGGACUGAGACACGCCCCAGACGGCUACGGGAAGCAGCAGUAGGGAAUCGUCGGCAAUGGACGGAAGUCUGACCGAGCAACGCCGCGUGAGGGAAGAAGGUUGUCGGAUCGUAAAGCUCUGUUGUAAGAGAAGAACGAGUGUGAGAGUGGAAAGUUCACACUGUGACGGUAUCUGACCAGAAAGGGACGGCUAACUACGUG
rnacentral:rRNA from 1 species